rnacentral:tRNA from 1 species
GCCCUCGUAGCUCAAGGGAUAGAGCGAGCCGGUUCUAACGGAAGGGUUGGGGGUUCGAGUCCUCCCGAGGGUA